AAAGUGUGUGUCGUGAGCUUUUGAUGCGGCCUAUAAGAGGCAUGUAUUGAGGGUCUGAUGAACUUUGUAGGGCUCUGUAGCCGUUUAUGGUGUCACUGGAUUUUCGCCCCAUGGCGGACUGCUCGAUGAUGGGUGUCCAUCGUGGGUUUCCCAGUGAUGCUUUGAACCCGUUUUUCCCCCUUUCUAGGCUUCCUGAUUACUAUGUGAGACUGGUUGUAUUUCCGUUAUGAUGAGUAAUGGAAAGGGGUUAUCGCCCGGUUCAAAAAAAAAAUUAAAGUGUGUGCCGCAGGCUUGUAGAUAUUUUUCUCAAAAAGGAAUGAAUGGUCUUAUGAAACACAAUGCUUCUUCAAAUCUUCUGGUUAUGAGAUGGUUAUCAAGCGAGCGGUCAUUGAAGUCGCGCUCAUGUAGCUUAUUAUCAGUCCCCGAAGACAAACCACCUACUUACUUUGUGUUUUCAAGAUUUAUUUGUUUGGCAAUGAUGUACUUGUAUAUCUUAACACUUGGUCGUGUGUCAAUCCUCUACUAUAAGUCAACCAUGAGUGUCGUAGAGGAUGAGUAGUUUGCCACAAUGUACUUGAACUUGGAUGUGUCAGAACUUGUAUUCCAUUCAGCUUUUACCUUA